GACGAACGCUGGCGGCGUGCCUAAUACAUGCAAGUAGAAGCUAGUUGCGAACGGGUGAGUAACGCGUAGGAACCUGCCUCAUAGCGGGGGAUAACUACGCGAAAGCGUAGCUAAUACCGCAUACUAUUGGAGCGGCCGAUAUCGGAUUAGCUAGUUGGUGAGGUAAAGGCUCACCAAGGCGACGAUACAUAGCCGACCUGAGAGGGUGAUCGGCCACACUGGGACUGAGACACGGCCCAGACUCCUACGGGAGGCAGCAGUGGGGAAUUUUGGACAAUGGGGGAAACCCUGAUCCAGCCAUCCCGCGUGUGCGAUGAAGGCCUUCGGGUUGUAAAGCACUUUUGGCAGGAAAGCGGUACCUGCAGAAUAAGCACCGGCUAACUACGUGCCAGCCGCCGCGGUAAUAC
rnacentral:rRNA from 1 species